GAGAUUCAACAGUCAUUUAACAAAUAGGAUUACUCCCCUGCCAUCUUGGCAUGAUGAAUUGAUUGCAAAUGAUAUUGGAUCAAUCAGGCAUUAGUUCCUGCUGCACAAUAGGCAACAUUGUUUUUCUGUGAAAAUAGACUUGGUCUGAAUCACAAAGUGGGACAGCAGUAGACAGCAAAAUAACAUUUGAUCAAUAAGCUGAAUUUAAUUGUAGUCUUGGAUUUCCACUACACACAUCCACAGAAAAGUACAAACCGGCCUUUUCAACUUUCAAUAUAUUUAAUAAACACUGCUUUAAAAAACAAAUCACUACUGACCAAAACAUAGGGUCAGAGCUGGACAUAUUGUCUCCUCCCAACAUAUCUGUUGUCAUGUUGUGUAUUGAUUAGCAUAAGUAAAAUAUUAUCCAGUUGGCUUUUCUCAUAAGAGACAUUGUGACUUGUCAAACACAGGGGUAAUUAAUAACAUUUAUAAUGGCUGCAUUUUUAUCUACAUGUGUCAGCUGCAGGGCUCUGGUAUUGUGCAUGCUGGCUCACUACUAGAACAUUUAAUUGGAAUGACGCCAUCGUUAACAUUAUUAGUUCCACCUGUGCUUUCCUUGCUAUGACAAACCGAAGUGUCUGCUGUGUGAAAGGUCUAACUCAUUCUAAAAAUUGCAGAUCUUUGAUGUCUGCUGCCUCCGAUUAGACUCAUUUGCAUGUAUUGGCUAUUUAAAAUUAAAACAGCUUAAAUAUUGCAGUUGUAGUUGCUGCUGCUACGUGGCUUCAGACACAACCCCAUUUUAUUAGGUUUCAGGCAUAACUGGGUCUGUGUCACCUGUUUUGGCCUUGAAUGGAUUCUAUUUUUGUAAUCUUGAGCUCUCCAACAGUAAUAUGCAAAGACAUAAAAUUGCUUUAUAAAGUUAUAGUAGCUUUCAUGGUGGCAGGCAUUUGUAAGCAAUUGCUGGUUUUAUGUGUGGCAUUAUCAAAUAAAUCCCCUUUACUGGUAAUUACUACAUAUACCAGUUGAGUUUUUUAGUGGUGUAUGUACAGUUGGGUAAUUUUACAUUGCAGUAUAAUAAGGAACUCUCCUAACAUGUAAAAUUGGUCAUGUUGUGUAGGUUUAACUGAAAAAUUAUUCAGUCUUAUGAUAUUGAAUUGAUACAACAUCGCAAACCAGCUGGUAACAACUGAAACGAUCAAAUCAUCUUCUCCGUGUUAUAUUUUUCAAUACUAAAUCACUUAUGGCUGUAAAGCAAUGUGUGUACAGUGUUAAUCCAAAUAUUCCCAAGCCCUUGCAAAAGCCCACCAAAAACAGCAUUAAAGAGAAAACCAACUUAACAUCAAUUUCUGCACACUGCAACCUCUUGCAGUAUACCGCCUGCUGCUGUGCUGGAGGUCACACACUCCCUUUCACAGUGAAUGCCUACAGAGGCUAUGCUUGUUGUUGAAUUAUUAAGCACAAAGGUGGUGAGGGUAGGAGGUUUCAGGUGCUCUCAUUGAUCACAUUCCCUGAAAGCAGCUGCAGUUUUUAGCACAAGCUCCAAAGAUGAUUGGGUAAAAAUGUCUCAAUAUAAAUAUUCAUGAAUGUAGUUUGUCCCAUUCAUUUAUGUUUUUUAGUUGGGGGUUGGGGCCUGAAUGUAUUCUGUGUACAGCAGUGAAACUCCACACGCUACUAUAUCACAUAAUUUUCUACACUCUAUAACUUAUCUUUUGAAUGCUGAAAGAAUCCCUCAAAAAUAAACGGAUAGUAUGUAAUCCAAUCUGUUUCAUUGGGCUGCAAGGCCUCAAUUUGUACCACUGACAUUCUUUCUGCUGUGCAAAAAUAUCAGAUGGAUAUGCUGAAAAUAAUCUGGAUCCACCUCUGCAAAAGAGCCACACAGUCGUUAUUUUCAUAUUCAUGCGAAAAUGUCUGUUAGAUGUGAAGAAAGGCCAAUCCUCAUGGAAAAGAGUUUUUGACUUCUAUCACUCGCCCGUCUCACAGAACAGAUACGCUUCCAUUUUAUCAAAUAUAUCAACCCACACUGACUCCCAGAAACAUGAGCCUUCCCUGGAACCCCUGCUUUGAGUAUUUUUUCUCUGCCGCACUUACUGAAGUGUAAUCUCCACAGACAGCUGUCUAAACCACACAAAUCUCAUAUGUUUUGAACUUACUAAUGGUAUCUGUAAUGGCUGAUCAAGGCUCCCAGUGUCACUAUGAGCUUUCUGGUUUUACUAUAGGCACUAGUGAAGGGCAAUGAAAAUCAAUAAAUCAACAAAUGUGUCAGUAGCAAUUACGCGCUAUAUAUCUUGCUUCUACUGGAACUAGAUUCCCAAGUAAAAGUCUAAAGCCAUGCUAGUGGCUCUGUGAGGUUGUACUACGUUGUAGAGCACAGUGUUGCUUUGAGCUAAAUGCUAACAUCAGCAAUGCUACCCUGCUCAGAAUAAUAUUGCUAGCAUGUUGAUGUUUUCAAUGGAGCUGUAGAUGGUGGCCCAGCACCAGGGGGCGAUGGAGAGGGGUUAUGGAUGAACUGUACUCCAUUAGGACAGAAAGGGUCAAGUCAUGUUGAUGUGUAGCAGCUAUAAUGUUUACUAUCUUAGUUUACCACUAAACACAAAGUACAGCUGAGGCUGAUGCGAAAGUAAUAAACCAGUAGUAGUGGACCAGAAAAUAUGACCUGAUGAUGGCAUGAUGAUGGUCCUUGUGCACAUGCAGAAGAUAAUGGCGACCAACAGAAAAACAGCUCCAUAGCGCUACUGGAUGUAUGAAGCUCCACAGGGAACCUUUAACUAUGACAACAGUUGCUUCACUUGCUGAUAUCUUAUACUUAAGCUAAUGACGGCUAUUUUAGGAAUCAUAAGGAAGUGAAUGGAUGAAGGGUAAGCUGCAACUCUAGAAUCACUGCACAUGUGAUCUGCUUGGCACUAAUGAUUGUUAUUAAGAACAGCUGUGUGCCUGAUAAUUCACAACAAUAGAAAAAAAGCCUACCUCCUUCAACAAAGCUCUGUGUCAGACUAUAAUUUACUAUACAAUGUUGAAAUAUGUUCUGUUGGUCAUUUGUUUUGACUUUACAUCUUGAAUAGCAAUGGUGCUGGCACGUUGUGCUUGUUUGGAAAGCCCAUCUUAAAUGACCUUAGCACGUGUUAGUGAAAGAAUUGAUUGUCUCUAGUGAGUGGUUCUGUAAAAAAUCUUUGUCACAGGCUCAUUGCUUUUGUUUGUCUAACAAUAGACAAAACUCAAAGCCCAAUCAAUUCUUGUACAAUCAAAAGAAACCUCCUCCAGAAACCUCCUAACCAGGAGGCCUUUAUAAGAAUAAAUACGUUUUCAAAGUGUUGAGAUGAAAGAAAAAAUUAUUUAGAAAAACAAAGACUUUGUUCUUCUUUUCCUACAUCCCUUAGCACACUGCAGUUUGCAUGACAAAUGUGAAAAUACAACCAUUCAAAAAAGAAGCCACUUGGGCUUCUUUUAACAACUAUAAAUAAAGACGUGAUGAUGAGUCAAGUGCCACAAAGUACAAUAAAUCAAUGUAUCUGCCAACCAAAACAAAAUAGUCUCAUUUCACCUGCUGUCAUUACCAAGUGGGCCAACACGCUGGGUUAAUAGCACAGGUCAGGCCCAAAGUAACUCCUGGGCACAGAGCCAACUGGGAAGUUGGAGCAGCCUUGUAAUUUUCUAUGGCUGGAAACUUUGUGGUGAGGCAGACAGCGAAUAUUCUCAGUUCCAUUCACUCUCGAUCCUUGGCAAAAUAGCUUGGCCAAACAUGUUGAAUCACAUUGAUUAAAGUUGUUACUUACAAAACAAAUAUCCAAAAGAUUAGUAAAUAAUAAAAAGCACAGACAGAGGAUUAGGACAUACUGUAUAUAUACAGUACAGCAUACAGGUUAUAAAUUAAUAAAUGUUUUAUUAUUGAUUAAUCUGUUGAUUAUUUUAACAGUUAAUUGUUUAGCCUAUAGAAUGUCCAAAAAUUCUUCAAAUGUCUUGCCUUGUCCAACAAAAAGUCAAAAAAUAUAAAAGAUAUUCAAUGUACAAUGAUAUAAACAGAGAGAAGCAGUAAAUUCUUACAUUGGACAAGCUGGAACUGGCAAAGUUCUUGGCAAAGGUAAAUUACUUAAACAAUUUAUCAGUUAAGGAAAAGUAAUGUAGCAGUGAUACUGUAGAGUAGCAAAAAGAUUUAAAUGUAAAUACUGGCACUGGUGAGUGCAAAAAGAGAGGAUAUUAAUAUAAGUUUAUAAAGAGAGUAUUGCCUUGAAAUAGAUUUGCCAAACUACUAGCCUGAGAAUAUUGCCAAUACAUAUAAAUGAGAUACAGUUGACAGUAGUGAUAAAUAUGGUGAAGGCACUGAACUGAGUUGCAACUGUAUGUGACUUCCAACAUAAAUACAGCACAUAAGUUACAAACCAGGCUUAAAAUGGAGCAAAAAUAUUGAACAUACAGAAGCAGAGCAGAAAAGUGGUUUGCAGACACUUUGACUUUUUCUACAAAAAAAGGGUCACUAUUGGAAUCCUUUCUAACAAACAAAAACAAACAAAAAUUCAUGCUGAUCACAGUUGCUGCCCCCCCUAACCCCCCCCAAAAAAAGAUUACAAUACACAUUUUGUUUGAUACAAUAAUAGCUGGGCCCUCUCCCUUAAUCUACAACUAACCCUUUAAUUUGUAAGAAUAAAGAGUCUAAAGAUAGAGGGUGUCAUAUAUUGUGUACAGAUUUCAAAGUCCUCUGAGAUAAACUUGUGAUUUUGGACUAUAAACUUGUUGUAGCUGCACCAGAUUACAAGCAACUCCUGUCUUUCUGUCUGAACAACCCUGUGUCAUCAGCAAACCUAGGUAGUUUGACAGAGAGCUUAUUGGAGUUGCAGAGGAGACAGCUCAUAGACUACCCCACAUUCAAAACAAUCCUGGCACGUGUACUUGAGCUGUCGUGAUGUGAGAAAUACAGGGGUGAGCAGAGAGCACGGAGAGGAGAUUAAAGAUGGAAUUCAGGUUGAGAGCAUUUUCCUCCUCUAUUCCUGUUGCCUCCAGUUCUUUGGCCUCGACUGACCUGCUCAGAGAGAAGAAUGCGAAAGAAAAUGAGACUACUGGAGUGUCAAACUAGAGCUGCCCUGCAGUGUACAGUGGGGCUUCACAAUGCUCAACCUCUCGACAGCUGUUGUGGCAGUCAUAAAAUUAACGUGGGGAAAAAAAAGGAAAUUAAACAACAGAGGGUAACGUAACAAGUUUUCUCCAACAGUUGCUUUGUCACUCAAGUAAAGAACUGGAUACCCACUGGGAAAAAGAAAUGUGUAUCCCUUUGUGACCUAACUCAUAAUAAAAACAGGCCCAUUUCUGUUUUGAGAUGCUGCAGCUAGACUCAGAGCCUAUUUUCCACACAGCAGAAAACAGGCGAUAAAUGGGGCUGAUUGAGCAGAGGGGAAUGAGAGCAGGAUGCAAAAUUUGGUUGUUGCCAAUGACAUUGCAGCCUAGACGGUGUGUAGUCAAUGGCCCGGGGUCAAUGUAAUCAUCCAGGGAGAUUAGCUUGCUUUCAGGGAACACACAGGUUUUGGGGCUGAUAAGCGGUACAAGGCCUGUAAAAACACGAUGACUUCAUUAAGCCAUGGUACCACAUAUUCUGCAGGCUCAGCCAUGAUUUGCAACUGCAGCAGAGCAGCUCGUCAAUAAAAUGCAACAUUUUGGCAAGACAGAUGGGGAGAAGCUUGAAUCUGAGGCAUGGUUUAAUCUGGAGUUAGCUUCUGACAAACAUAAAACUGCUCAGUGAUAGACCUUUUUCUAUUGAUUGUGGUGAAUUUUUAAUUGUACUCUACUUAAUUAACCAAAUGGUUUUCCUCACGAAAUAGUUUUUUGAAGUGUACUAUGAUGUAUUUGAAUGAUCACAGAGUGAAAUGUUUAAGUAAUCGUAACAUCUUAGAUUUAUGUUUACUUUAUUCUUCCUUAUUAUUACUUUUAAAGCAUUUUUUUUUUUUUGCAAUGCCUGCUUCACAGUAAACAGAAUGUAAAAAAAUUGGGACCCAAGUCACAAUUGCAAUUAUUUUGAUCAUUGAUGAAUUGUUAAUUAUUAGUUAAUUGUUAUUAUUAGUUAUUGUGAGAAUAAACUGAAUAACUUUGGAGGGUUUCACUGCUGAUCAAGAAAAACAACAUUUUAGGACAUCAACUUGGCGUCUACUGUAUUAGGAUGGUGUAUUUUUUUCAGUUUUUCUGAUGUUUUAUAGACCAAAUGAUUGAUGAUGAUAAUAAUAAUAAUGAAAAGGCAUUUGAAUGUUAAAUAAAUAUAUAUAUAUAUAUUAAGUGAAAAAGCAACUGGACUUCUUGUUGUCUGUCUAGGCUUCUUGACAUUCUUUCAAGAGUUUUAAGAAUCUUAAUAAACACAACAUACAACA